UCAGGGAGUGAAAAGUGUAAUACUUAAACAAAACAUAAUUACAAAACAAGAAACACGACCAACGCACAGACAUGAAACAGAAACAGAAACAAAGGGAGUGACAUAAACAGGACAGGUAAUGAAGGAGGUGAUGGAGUCCAGCCAGUUGGGAGUUCUGAUUACCCGCACCUGUAUCCCAUCAGCUAUCUGCACACCUGGUCCUGAUCAUCAUCUCUCCUCUUCAUAAGCCCGGACCUGCCAUCCAUUCCCUGCCGGAUCGUUAGCCAUGAACAUUACUCACCCGGAUCAUUUACCCCAUUCCCGCCUGGUCGUCGGAGGAUUCCGCUACCCCAUUGGAUCCACCUAUUUACUCCCAUCAACUCACCACCGCUGCCCGCCACGCCACCUGGAUAUAUCUACCCAUUCACUUGUAAAUAAAUACUCACCUUCUUCCUA